rnacentral:rRNA from 1 species
UACAGAGGUUUCAAGCGUUGUUCGGAUUCAUUGGGCGUAAAGGGUGCGUAGGUGGCGUCGUAAGUCGGGUGUGAAAUUUCGGAGCUCAACUCCGAAACUGCAUUCGAUACUGCGGUGCUUGAGGACUGGAGAGGAGACUGGAAUUUACGGUGUAGCAGUGAAAUGCGUAGAGAUCGUAAGGAAGACCAGUGGCGAAGGCGGGUCUCUGGACAGUUCCUGACACUGAGGCACGAAGGCCAGGGGAGCAAACGGG